GGGUUGUGAGGUUAAGCGACUAAGCGUACACGGUGGAUGCCCUGGCAGUCAGAGGCGAUGAAGGACGUGCUAAUCUGCGAUAAGCGUCGGUAAGGUGAUAUGAACCGUUAUAACCGGCGAUUUCCGAAUGGGGAAACCCAGUGUGAUUCGUCACACUAUCAUUAACUGAAUCCAUAGGUUAAUGAGGCGAACCGGGGGAACUGAAACAUCUAAGUACCCCGAGGAAAAGAAAUCAACCGAGAUUCCCCCAGUAGCGGCGAGCGAACGGGGAGCAGCCCAGAGCCUGAAUCAGUGUGUGUGUUAGUGGAAGCGUCUGGAAAGGCGCGCGAUACAGGGUGACAGCCCCGUACACAAAAAUGCACAUGCUGUGAGCUCGAUGAGUAGGGCGGGACACGUGGUAUCCUGUCUGAAUAUGGGGGGACCAUCCUCCAAGGCUAAAUACUCCUGACUGACCGAUAGUGAACCAGUACCGUGAGGGAAAGGCGAAAAGAACCCCGGCGAGGGGAGUGAAAAAGAACCUGAAACCGUGUACGUACAAGCAGUGGGAGCACGCUUAGGCGUGUGACUGCGUACCUUUUGUAUAAUGGGUCAGCGACUUAUAUUCUGUAGCAAGGUUAACCGAAUAGGGGAGCCGAAGGGAAACCGAGUCUUAACUGGGCGUUAAGUUGCAGGGUAUAGACCCGAAACCCGGUGAUCUAGCCAUGGGCAGGUUGAAGGUUGGGUAACACUAACUGGAGGACCGAACCGACUAAUGUUGAAAAAUUAGCGGAUGACUUGUGGCUGGGGGUGAAAGGCCAAUCAAACCGGGAGAUAGCUGGUUCUCCCCGAAAGCUAUUUAGGUAGCGCCUCGUGAAUUCAUCUCCGGGGGUAGAGCACUGUUUCGGCAAGGGGGUCAUCCCGACUUACCAACCCGAUGCAAACUACGAAUACCGGAGAAUGUUAUCACGGGAGACACACGGCGGGUGCUAACGUCCGUCGUGAAGAGGGAAACAACCCAGACCGCCAGCUAAGGUCCCAAAGUCAUGGUUAAGUGGGAAACGAUGUGGGAAGGCCCAGACAGCCAGGAUGUUGGCUUAGAAGCAGCCAUCAUUUAAAGAAAGCGUAAUAGCUCACUGGUCGAGUCGGCCUGCGCGGAAGAUGUAACGGGGCUAAACCAUGCACCGAAGCUGCGGCAGCGACGCUUAUGCGUUGUUGGGUAGGGGAGCGUUCUGUAAGCCUGCGAAGGUGUGCUGUGAGGCAUGCUGGAGGUAUCAGAAGUGCGAAUGCUGACAUAAGUAACGAUAAAGCGGGUGAAAAGCCCGCUCGCCGGAAGACCAAGGGUUCCUGUCCAACGUUAAUCGGGGCAGGGUGAGUCGACCCCUAAGGCGAGGCCGAAAGGCGUAGUCGAUGGGAAACAGGUUAAUAUUCCUGUACUUGGUGUUACUGCGAAGGGGGGACGGAGAAGGCUAUGUUGGCCGGGCGACGGUUGUCCCGGUUUAAGCGUGUAGGCUGGUUUUCCAGGCAAAUCCGGAAAAUCAAGGCUGAGGCGUGAUGACGAGGCACUACGGUGCUGAAGCAACAAAUGCCCUGCUUCCAGGAAAAGCCUCUAAGCAUCAGGUAACAUCAAAUCGUACCCCAAACCGACACAGGUGGUCAGGUAGAGAAUACCAAGGCGCUUGAGAGAACUCGGGUGAAGGAACUAGGCAAAAUGGUGCCGUAACUUCGGGAGAAGGCACGCUGAUAUGUAGGUGAAGCGACUUGCUCGUGGAGCUGAAAUCAGUCGAAGAUACCAGCUGGCUGCAACUGUUUAUUAAAAACACAGCACUGUGCAAACACGAAAGUGGACGUAUACGGUGUGACGCCUGCCCGGUGCCGGAAGGUUAAUUGAUGGGGUUAGCGCAAGCGAAGCUCUUGAUCGAAGCCCCGGUAAACGGCGGCCGUAACUAUAACGGUCCUAAGGUAGCGAAAUUCCUUGUCGGGUAAGUUCCGACCUGCACGAAUGGCGUAAUGAUGGCCAGGCUGUCUCCACCCGAGACUCAGUGAAAUUGAACUCGCUGUGAAGAUGCAGUGUACCCGCGGCAAGACGGAAAGACCCCGUGAACCUUUACUAUAGCUUGACACUGAACAUUGAGCCUUGAUGUGUAGGAUAGGUGGGAGGCUUAGAAGUGUGGACGCCAGUCUGCAUGGAGCCGACCUUGAAAUACCACCCUUUAAUGUUUGAUGUUCUAACGUUGACCCGUAAUCCGGGUUGCGGACAGUGUCUGGUGGGUAGUUUGACUGGGGCGGUCUCCUCCUAAAGAGUAACGGAGGAGCACGAAGGUUGGCUAAUCCUGGUCGGACAUCAGGAGGUUAGUGCAAUGGCAUAAGCCAGCUUGACUGCGAGCGUGACGGCGCGAGCAGGUGCGAAAGCAGGUCAUAGUGAUCCGGUGGUUCUGAAUGGAAGGGCCAUCGCUCAACGGAUAAAAGGUACUCCGGGGAUAACAGGCUGAUACCGCCCAAGAGUUCAUAUCGACGGCGGUGUUUGGCACCUCGAUGUCGGCUCAUCACAUCCUGGGGCUGAAGUAGGUCCCAAGGGUAUGGCUGUUCGCCAUUUAAAGUGGUACGCGAGCUGGGUUUAGAACGUCGUGAGACAGUUCGGUCCCUAUCUGCCGUGGGCGCUGGAGAACUGAGGGGGGCUGCUCCUAGUACGAGAGGACCGGAGUGGACGCAUCACUGGUGUUCGGGUUGUCAUGCCAAUGGCACUGCCCGGUAGCUAAAUGCGGAAGAGAUAAGUGCUGAAAGCAUCUAAGCACGAAACUUGCCCCGAGAUGAGUUCUCCCUGACCCUUUAAGGGUCCUGAAGGAACGUUGAAGACGACGACGUUGAUAGGCCGGGUGUGUAAGCGCAGCGAUGCGUUGAGCUAACCGGUACUAAUGAACCGUGAGGCUUAACCUUACAACGCCGAAGGUGUUU
rnacentral:rRNA from 1 species